rfam:Glycine soja cultivar W05 scaffold3904_21, whole genome shotgun sequence.
UUCUAAUUGGAUGAUGACUGUGACAUGUCAUGAUCUGAUUAGAUGUGAAUUUCAUGAAAGAUGAAAUUCAUUAUUGUUAUCAUUGGUCAAUCAGAUCAUGACAUGUGACACUGUUAAUCA